rnacentral:rRNA from 1 species
CGAAAGGCGUAGGUGAUGGACAACAGGUUGAUAUUCCUGUACUACCGAUAACCGUUUGAGAGAAGGGAUGACACAGUAGGAUAAGCUAAGCACCCUGUUGGUUAUGUGUGCCCAAGCAUUGAGGCAGUCAAAGUAGGCAAAUCCGCUUUGAUAAUGCUGGGAUGUGAUGGGGAGCGAAAUUUAGUAGCGAAGUAGCUGAUUUCACACUGUCAAGAAAAGUC